UCAUUGUAAAUGAUGGCUUCAGUUCAACACAAAUACAAUUAAAUAAACCAAAACUUCUAGGACUAGCAAAGGGGAAAGAAUUCUCAAAGAUACUCUUUUCUCUGGCUUUCCAUAUUGAAAAUAAUUUCUCAUUUUGACAAUAUAACCUGAUAAAAACCUUCCAUCUGUGAUGGUUAAUACUGAGUGUCAACUUGAUUGGAUUGAAGGAUGCAGUAUUGAUCCUGGGUGUGUCUGUGAGAGUGUUGCCAAAGGAGAUUAACAUCUGAGUCAGGGGAUGGGGAAGGAGACCCCCCUUAAUCAGGUAGGCAAGACCUAAUCAGCCGCCAGCAAAUAUAAAGCAGGGGAAAAAACGUGAAGCAAAGAGAUGGGCCUAGCUUCCUAGCCUACAUCUUUCUCCUUUGCUGGAUGCUUCCUGCCCUUGAACAUCAGACUCGAAGUUCUUCAGCUGUGGGAAUCGGACUGGCUCUCCUUGCUCCUCAGCUUGCAGACAACCUAUUGUGCGACCUUGUGAUCAUUUCUGGAGUCUGGAAUUCCAAGAUAAAGAUGCCAACAGAUUCAAUGUCCAGGAAUGAUCCAGUUACUGUUUCAUGGACAGCAGUCUUUUCACUGCGUCUUCAGAUGGGGAAAGAGAGACACGGUCUCGUCCUGUUGUCCAGGCUAAAGUGCAAUGUGGGAUCAUGGCUCACUGCAGAGCCAACCUCCUGGGAUCAAGAAAUCCUCCCACCUCAGCCUGCUGAGUAGCUGAAGCUGGAACCACAGAGUUGGAGAAUCACUGUGAAGCAGAAGCUGCCUUUCCUGAGAAAAAUUUCGUAUUCUAUGUUUACAUAUGUGUACCUCUGGGAUAAAGUGUUUGGCACUAGUUGUGAAUCACAGAAAUUACCCAAGAUAUAGCUGCUGAAUGAAUUAAUGGAAGAGUAAAUUGAA
rnacentral:lncRNA from 10 species